rnacentral:lncRNA from 1 species
AUAGAAGCGCCAAACUCACAGCUGAGGAGGGCACAGUGGUUCAAGCAGAAGCUUGAGUCCAGCAUGGUAGCCAAGAUUGUGCUCUUCACCCUCACAAUCCUUGGCACAUCCAUGGUGAUGGGCGAUGGAACCUUGACACCAGCAAUAUCUGGUAAGGGAAACAUCCAACAGAGAGUUGAUCAGUAUGAUCAUAUUGUAACCUUUUUGCAUAAUAAUGUAUACUAAUGUGUUCUUGUUCAUGGAUGUUCUGCAGUGCUCUCUGCAGUGAGCGGGAUCAGAGAAAAAGCACCAAACUUGACUCAGAGUAAGUUAAAAGAAGAACUGCGAUGAUCAACGAUCAAUUGUUACCUGCUUGUGUAUUUCACAUCUAACGCUUCGGUUGUCGUUCUUGGUACAGCGGAAGUUGUCU